rnacentral:rRNA from 1 species
AUUGAACGCUGGCGGCAUGCUUUACACAUGCAAGUCGAACGGUAACAGGCCUUCGGGUGCUGACGAGUGGCGAACGGGUGAGUAAUGCAUCGGAACGUACCCAGAGGUGGGGGAUAACGCAGCGAAAGCUGUGCUAAUACCGCAUGUGAUCUGAGGAUGAAAGCGGGGGACCGAGCAGCAAUGUUUGGCCUCGCGCCUUUGGAGCGGCCGAUGUCGGAUUAGCUAGUUGGUGGGGUAAAGGCCUACCAAGGCGACGAUCCGUAGCUGGUCUGAGUGGACGACCAGCCACACUGGGACUGAGACACGGCCCAGACUCCUACGGGAGGCAGCAGUGGGGAAUUUUGGACAAUGGGCGCAAGCCUGAUCCAGCAAUGCCGCGUGCGGGAAGAAGGCCUUCGGGUUGUAAACCGCUUUUGGCAGGAACGAAACGGUGUCCGCUAAUACCGGGCGCUAAUGACGGUACCUGCAGAAUAAGCACCGGCUAACUACGUG